rnacentral:rRNA from 1 species
AGCAACGCCGCGUGAGGGAUGAAGGCCUCUGGGCUGUAAACCUCUUUUCUCAGGGAAGAAGAGCUGACGGUACUUGACGAAUAAGCCACGGCUAAUUCCGUGCCAGCAGCCGCGGUAAUACCGGAGUGGCAAGCGUUAUCCGGAAUUAUUGGGCGUAAAGCGUCCGCAGGCGGCCUUGUAAGUCUGUCGUUAAAGCGUGGAGCUCAACUCCAUUUAAGCGAUGGAAACUGUGAGGCUAGAGUGUGGUAGGGGCAGAGGGAAUUCCCGGUGUAACGGUGAAAUGCUUACAUAUCGGGAAGAACACCAGUGGCGAAUGCGCUCUGCUGGGCCAUAACUGACGCUCAUGGACGAAAGCCACGGGAGCGAAAGGGAUUAGAUACCCCUGUAGUCCUGGCCGUAAACCAUGAACACUACGUGUCGGGGGAAUCGACCCCCUCGGUGUCGUAGCCAACGCGUUAAGUGUUCCGCCUGGGGAGUACGCACGCAAGUGUGAAACUCAAAGGAAAUUGACGG